UCCCCGUUACCGAGGCAGUCUGAAUAGACAAAUACAACUAUUCACGAGGGUUGCGCUCGUUGAAGGACUUAACCUGACAUCUCACGACACGAGCUGACGACGGCCAUGCAUCACCUGUCACUUGUCCAACUAAAUGAAGCCCUAGUUUCCUAGAGCGGCGACAAGGAUGUCAAACCUUGGUAAGGUUCUUCGCGUAGCCUCGAAUUAAACCACACGCUCCACCGCUUGUGCGGGUCCCCGUCAAUUCCUUUGAGUUUUAGCCUUGCGGCCGUACUCCCCAGGCGGGAUGCUUAACGCGUUAGCUUCGCUACCGAAGGGGUCGAUUCCUCCAACAGCUAGCAUCCAUCGUUUACGGCGUAGACUAC
rnacentral:misc_RNA from 1 species